rnacentral:rRNA from 1 species
GGUGAGAAUCCCGUAUGUGACUGGUGACCAACCCCAUGUGAAACCCCUUCGACGAGUCGAGUUGUUUGGGAAUGCAGCUCAAAAUGGGUGGUAAAUUUCAUCUAAAGCUAAAUACCGGCCAGAGACCGAUAGCGCACAAGUAGAGUGAUCGAAAGAUGAAAAGCACUUUGGAAAGAGAGUCAAAAAGUACGUGAAAUUGUUGAAAGAGAAGCGCUUGCAACCAGACCUGUCCGCCGGCGAUCAACCCCCGUUCUUCGGGGGUGCACUCGUCGGCGACCAGGCCAGCAUCGGUUCGGGCGGUCGGAUAAAGGCCGUGGGAAUGUAGCUCCUCUUGGGGAGUCUUAUAGCCCUCGGUGCAAUGCGGCCAGCUGGGACCGAGGACCGCGCUUCGGCUAGGAUGCUGGCGUAAUGGUUGUAAGCGACCCGUCUUGAAACACGGACCAAGGAGUCUAACAUCUAUGCAAGUGUUUGGGUGUCAAGCCCAUACGCGUAAUGAAAGUGAACGGAGGUGAGAACCCUUAAGGGCGCAUCAUCGACCGAUCCAGAUGUCUUCGGAUGGAUUUGAGUACGAGCAUAGCUGUUGGGACCCGAAAGAUGGUGAACUAUGCCUGAAUAGGGUGAAGCCAGAGGAAACUCUGGUGGAGGCUCGCAGCGGU